UACGGAGGGUGCAAACGUUGCUCGGAAUCAUUGGGCGUAAAGCGCACGUAGGCGGACCGCUAAGUCGGAUGUGAAAGCCCUCGGCUUAACCGAGGAAGUGCACUCGAAACUGACGGUCUUGAGUAUGGAAGAGGAGAGUGGAAUUCCCGGUGUAGCGGUGAAAUGCGCAGAUAUCGGGAAGAACACCCGUGGCUAAGGCGGCUCUCUAGUACGGUACUGACGCUGAGACGCGAAAGCGUGGGGAGCGAACAGG
rnacentral:rRNA from 1 species